AUUGAACGCUGGCGGCAGGCCUAACACAUGCAAGUCGAACGGUAACAGGAAGAAGCUUGCUUCUUUGCUGACGGGUGGCGGACGGGUGAGUAAUGUCUGGGAAACUGCCUGAUGGAGGGGGAUAACUACUGGAAACGGUAGCUAAUACCGCAUAACGUCGCAAGACCAAAAAGGGGGACCUUCGGGCCUCUUGCCAUCGGAUGUGCCCAGAUGGGAUUAGCUAGUAGGUGGGGUAACGGCUCACCUAGGCGACGAUCCCUAGCUGGUCUGAGAGGAUGACCAGCCACACUGGAACUGAGACACGGUCCAGACUCCUACGGGAGGCAGCAGUGGGGAAUAUUGCACAAUGGGCGCAAGCCUGAUGCAGCCAUGCCGCGUGUAUGAAGAAGGCCUUCGGGUUGUAAAGUACUUUCAGCGGGGAGGAAGGGAGUAAAGUUAAUACCUUUGCUCAUUGACGUUACCCGCAGAAGAAGCACCGGCUAACUCCGUG
rnacentral:rRNA from 1 species